rnacentral:lncRNA from 1 species
ACAUUGGAAAUAACAACAUAUUCCUAAAUUCAAUAUUUUUAUCUAGAUAUACAAUUCACUCAAAUAUGAGAACAUGAAUGAUCCCCAUUCUUGCUUUUUUGUUUGUAUAAAAUUGUUUAACAAAGAAAACCAGAUUUUUAGUUGAAAAGUAAUGUCAAAUACUGAAUGGAUUUUUGUAAGAUAUUAUAGUAUUAAGGAGUCCCGCUUCAAAAAUUACUUUUAAUUCACAAAACUUAAAGGAUUAAUUAACGCAUCAUUAUUGUUUUGGUAUGGAACCUCAAAUAUAUAGCUGCAAUCACAAACAUGAAAUGGUCCCAAAACAUUAACUCAACCAAUUAACACACAAAAUGGUAGAUUAAUUAACACACAAACGAAUACACUAACAAUAACAAAAAAUGGUACAAUAUAAUUUCUUAAUUAUACCAAAGAAUUAAC